CCAUCCCGGCGGCGGCGUGCGUGGGUCACUCUGGGGUUUCGUGUUUUGUGCGCUGAGAUGGCGGUUAGAAGGGAGCCUUUGGGCUUAGUCGGAAUGCAGCGGGCCCGGGGGGCGUGCAGUGAGGGGGCGAGGGCAGCUGCGGCAGUCUGCGGGCUGGGGGGCCUGAGCGCGCUCGGGGGCCGCCUGGGUCGCGCGGCCGCCUCGUGCAGCCCUGGACGCUGAGGCCCAGGCCGCGCGCAUGCGCUCUGGCCUGGCGAGCACCCAGCGCUCCGGGCGAGUCCGCCCUGGGCGCCACGUGGCCCCGUGAAUCUGCUUCCCCGCGGCUGGCCCGGACCCCUGCGGCCCGCCGGCUACUCGAGAGCGAGCCCCCUGGGACUUAGAAAUCCAGCGACACGAGGGGGGUCUCGACAGCUCCUGGACUGACUGGCAAGUGGUGUUGUGGAAACAAAAGAACGUUUCGGAAACUAUCAAGGCCUGAAUGUUACUCUAUCAAAGAGUGUAAGCUGGUGCUUCCUUGUAAUGAAAUAAAAUGCUUGAUUCUUCUGGA